UGUCUUCUAAAUAAAGACCAGUAUGAACGGCUAAAUGAGGACAAACCUGUCUCUUGCAACCAAUCAGUGAAACUGAUCUCCCGGUCCAAAAGCCGGGAUAACCCCAUAAGACGAGAAGACCCUGUGGAGCUUUAAACAAACCACUACGCAUCACACUAAGCCGCAAUUAGUGGGGAGUUUUAAGUUGGGGCGACUUCGGAACCAAAGAAAACUUCCGAGCACAGAACCACCCAUUCUUACUAAGACCAACAAGUCAAAGUCUAAACAUGACCCAGUAAUACUGAUCAACGAACCAAGUUACCCCAGGGAUAACAGCGCCAUCUUCUUCAAGAGUUCAUAUCGACAAGAAGGUUUACGACCUCGAUGUUGGAUCAGGACACCCAAAUGGUGCAGCCGCUAUUAAAGGUUCGUUUGUUCAACGAUU
rnacentral:rRNA from 1 species